AGUGAACGCUGGCGGUAGGCCUAACACAUGCAAGUCGAACGGCAGCACAGUAAGAGCUUGCUCUUACGAGUGGCGAGUGGCGGACGGGUGAGGAAUACAUCGGAAUCUACUUUUUCGUGGGGGAUAACGUAGGGAAACUUACGCUAAUACCGCAUACGACCUACGGGUGAAAGCAGGGGAUCUUCUGACCUUGCGCGAUUGAAUGAGCCGAUGUCGGAUUAGCUAGUUGGCGGGGUAAAGGCCCACCAAGGCGACGAUCCGUAGCUGGUCUGAGAGGAUGAUCAGCCACACUGGAACUGAGACACGGUCCAGACUCCUACGGGAGGCAGCAGUGGGGAAUAUUGGACAAUGGGCGCAAGCCUGAUCCAGCCAUACCGCGUGGGUGAAGAAGGCCUUCGGGUUGUAAAGCCCUUUUGUUGGGAAAGAAAAGCAGCAGGUUAAUACCCCGCUGUUCUGACGGUACCCAAAGAAUAAGCACCGGCUAACUUCGUG
rnacentral:rRNA from 1 species